AUUAGUAAGCGGAGGAAAAGAAACUAACUAGGAUUUCCUUAGUAGCGGCGAGCGAACAGGAAAAAGCCCAGCACUGAAUCCUGCCGUCGUUCAGUCGGUGGGAGAUGUGGUGUUCGGGAGGUUCCGCGUUCUCGUCGCAAUCACACCUGUCCAAGUUCAUCUUGAACGAGGCCGUUUUCCCGUAGAGGGUGACAGGCCCGUAGUGACGGUGGAUCGUGGCGAGAGGGACUCUCCUUAGAGUCGGGUUGCUUGAGAGUGCAGCCCUAAGUGGGUGGUAAACUCCAUCUAAGGCUAAAUAUUACCGCGAGACCGAUAGCGAACAAGUACCGUGAGGGAAAGUUGAAAAGGACUUUGAAGAGAGAGUUCAAGAGUACGUGAAACCGUUCAGGGGUAAACCUGCGAAACACGAAUGAACGAACGGAGAGAUUCAUCGUCAUUCCGCGGCGUAUGGACGCGCGCCUCGAUGCCGUCGACCUCGGCCGGUAGGCACGGGUCGCGUCUGUCGACGUCCGCGGACGGCGUGCACUUCUCUUUUAGUAAAUACAUCGCGACCCGUCCGAUGUCGGUCUAAGCGCCGUACGGAGAGCUUGGACCCACUACCCCCGUGAAGGGGCACCUUCACCGAGGUGGUGGAACCGCAACGGUGGCCGACCGGCCGUCGGACGGUAGUUUUAAGGAAUCGCGCACGCGUUUUUGGCGCGUCCGGCCCGACGCGAGUCAACGUCGUAUUCUGUGUCUACGCCUUAAUGCGGACGCGGGUGCGGCGCGUCUGCCGUCGCCGCCGUGUUGUCUUGGACUGUGCGCGUCUCUGUCUGCGAUGAUUCAGUUUCGGGCACUCGCAGGACCCG
rnacentral:rRNA from 1 species